GCCGUACGGAUCAGUUGUGUUUUUCGUUUCGUUCUAUGUAUUUGCGUAUAUCUUUUAUCAAAGUGAUUUUAUUAUGUAUUAUUAUAUCAGUGAUAUUUUAAUCGAUUAUUUUCACGUUUAAUUCUCUCUAAUAUUUUUACAGAAUAAUUUAUAAUAACAAUUUUCUAUAUAAGAUUCCCGUGCGUUAUACAUGUCGUUUUGUUCGUUACCUUCAAUGAAAAUUAUGUAUAAAAGACGUAUUUUGAUCAAUUUUAAGUUUUACAGCAAGUAAUCGUGCAGUGUGAAACGUGUAUUUAACAAUGGAAGAACGAAAGGAGAUCGGAGUGAUUCGACGGCAAAGAGAGAAGAAAGAGAAAAAGAAAAGAAAGAAGAGAAGAUUAAGUUCAAACAAUAGAUUAAGUGCGACGUUGAUUGUAUCAUCGAGCUUUUGUGGCUUAUGUGUGUCGUAAACGGAGAAUAAUUUUUUUAGAACUCCCGCAGUGCCAGGAAAAAUUAUGGACAAGAGUGAAAAGCUGCGAAUUCAGUUCAUUUUGAGAUAACGCUUCUUCGAAACUUCAUUAUAUGAACAACGACGAUUAUUAAUGGUUUCGCUAUCAGUCCAGAUGCUUCCAGGUUCGAUGGCAAUUUUACGGGAACGAAGAAAGAGACGAUGAAUGUGUGACAGCAAAUCCAAGUUAACGGGAUCAUUUGGACGGAAUCAAAGAGACAAUCCGUGUUUCCGUCUAAUCUAGGAAUCGAUCUAAUCGGAUACUAGGACGAGUCAGGAGAAACAUCGACAUACUCUGUAGCGUCGUCAAUCACGGACAACGACAGGUCUUAUUUGCUCGCGACAACAGCCGAUCGACGUUGAGGUCGCUGCUGAUGGCAUCGCUCUCUCAAUCUAGACCCCGUCUGUUUCUCCAAUUUAUUGGCACCGCUAUAUCCGAUGGAGAUGCGCGCAAGACUUCCUACUGUUAAUUACAUGUAAUUUCAGAAAAAGAAUAUGACACAUGCGAGGAGGUUGCAUUUUUUUAAAUGCAAGUUUUCGUAUCUUUCUGUAGCGAAUUAUUCACUUAAUGAGAGUAAUCAGACAAAGGAAAGAGAGAGAGAGGGAGAGAAAGAAAGAGAGAGGGAGAGAAAGAAAGAGAGAGAGAGAGAGAGAGAGAGAGAGAAAGAAAGAGAGAGAGAGAGAGAGAGAGAGAACAUACAAAGCGGGGAUAAAGGCUUGAGGAAGGAACUAAAGGGUGCAUAAAAGCGGAGAUCAGGCGAACGCUCCUCUCGCUUGUCUUUCUUCCCCCAUAACUUCCGAGGAAUUAUUUCAUUGCCGGAGGAAAUGAGAGAGAGAGAGAGAGAAAGAGAGAGAGAAUGAUGAAGACAGAGAGAUAAAAAGAGAGAUAGAGAGAACGAGAAGAAGAUGCUUUAUCGUUUCGAGGACGCUUUUAUCUGUGUUAUCUUGGAUGUUGACGAUGUAUGUGUAUUCUAACAAAAGAUUUUAUAUAUCUACUACAAUGAUUCAUUUAUUUAAAAUUGAAUUGAUAAGAUAGAUCAAA